rnacentral:tRNA from 1 species
AAGGCCUUAAGUUAAAUACAAACUAAUAACCUUCAAAGCUAUAAAUAAAGGGGACCUCAGCCUUUAGGCCUUG